UAUUUAUUAGAUAACAGACCAAUAUUCCUCGUGUCUAUUGUGGUGACUCAUAGUAACUGAUCGGAUCGCAUGGCCUUGUGCCGCGACUAACCAUUCAAGUUUCUGACCCAUCAGCUUUCGAUGGUAGUGUAUUGGACUACCAUGGCUUUCACGGGUAACGGAGGAUUAGGGUUCGAUUCCGGAGAGGGAGCCUGAGAAACGGCUACCACAUCUAAGGAAGGCAGCAGGCGCGUAAAUUACCCAAUCCUGACUCAGGGAGGUAGUGACAAGAAAUAACGGGUCGGGGCAUUCGCCUCGGGAUUGCAAUGAAUCGAAUUUACACCCCUUAAUGAGGAUCAAUUGGAGGGCAAGUCUGGUGCCAGCAGCCGCGGUAAUUCCAGCUCCAAUAGCGUAUAUUAAAGUUGUUGCAGUUAAAAAGCUCGUAGUUUGAUUUCUGGACGGGCGCCAACACCCGCUUGUUUAGUGUGGAGGCGGCGCCCGCCCAUCCUUCUGUUAACGCCACCGGCAUUCGUUUGCUGGCGGCGGGCUCAGAUAUUUUACCUUGAGAAAAUUAGAGUGUUUCACGCAGGCUUGCGC
rnacentral:rRNA from 1 species